AGUCACUGACAUUAGAUACCCCCGUAGUCCAGGGUGUAAACGCUGCAGACUUGGUGUUGGAAGCCCUUUGGGGGCAUUCAGUGCCGGAGAGAAGUUGUUAAGUCUGCUACUUGGGAGUACGUCCGCAAGGAUGAAACUUAAAGGAAUUGGCGGGGGAGCACCGCAACGGGAGGAGCGUGCGGUUUAAUUGGAUUCAACACCGUAAAACUCACCAGGGAAGACUGUUACAUGAAGGCCGAGAUGAAGGCUCUGCUAGAUUUUCAG
rnacentral:rRNA from 1 species